GCUGCCUCAUAAUUACAGCCUCUCAUCGCACGUGCGGGAAACAAGUUGUGGCGUUCGGGAAAGGUCUGCAAAAAUAGGUGUCAGCCCUUAACUAAUAGUGAUUGUCCUUCCAUUCUACUGUAAUUUACAUUUAAUUCACACAUUUCAUUUCCAUUUAAAAUAUGAUUACAGUGUUUUGAAGCACAUCUCACCUGUCCCCUCGAAUUACAGGGGGAUGAGAAUAACAGGGAACAGCAGGCACCGGGAAGGCGGCGCAGCCCUUGGCGCUGGGGCUCAUGACCUGCUACUAAAUACAUGCAGCAGAAAGCAGUGGCUGCCGUGUCUGACGCUUAGGCUUCUCUACCCUGAAGCCAGCAGAAGAAAGGAAGGAAGAAGGCUUGGGACUUCCUAUGCGUUGAUGCAGAGAGUCCAGAAUGCCCCCAUGGAUAUGCAACACCCUUCAGAAUAUACCUCCUUGGGGCUGAAGAGAUGGCUCAGUGGUAAACAGCACUGUAUGCUCUUCCAGAGGGCUCAGAUUUGAGUCUCAGCACUGACAAAUGUUAUGGUCUUUCUUCUAUUGCAGAGAGUCGGUGAAUUCUUUUCUUCCCCUCUUAUAGCUCGCCAUGGUCAUGGACCUAGUGACCACUGAAGUAUAAGCAGAUGUUGUGUGUCAGUUCUAGGCCUUCGUUAAGAUACUCCCUACUCUAUGCUGUUUUUCUGCUAACCAAAGGUGAACAGCUUCAAGGAUGAGGUACAACUAAAGGACAACCACACCACCAAGAAGAUAAAUGGUACUUCCCUGGACCACUUCAUGAAGGAAGUCUGCACACUAACCAAGAACAGUUGAGCAAUGGCAUUUUAACAACCUUUUAUUCUGUGAAGGAUACUAUAAAUUCUUUGGCGUCUCUAUACCUCUACCUGUUUCUGAUGGAGUUCCAGCUCUGAUGCCCACUCUCAGAGCUCUACAAAUUGGACUUUGACUUCCAUCUAUGUUGCUUUACUUGGAGCUGAAUUCACACUCGCCAUAAACACCGGGAAAACAGGAUGGGAAAUGAUAUUAAAACAGCUUUCAGACAUCUCAAGGCAGGCACUACAGACUGAAAGCCUCCUGAGAGAAUGUAAAUAAACAAGGGGAAACUGCCAGCACCCUAGCUUUCUUCAGGG
rnacentral:lncRNA from 1 species